UGGGGAAUAUUGGACAAUGGGCGCAAGCCUGAUCCAGCCAUGCCGCGUGAGUGAUGAAGGCCUUAGGGUUGUAAAGCUCUUUCAGUGGGGACGAUAAUGACGGUACCCACAGAAGAAGCCCCGGCUAACUUCGUGCCAG
rnacentral:rRNA from 1 species